GGGGAAUAUUGGACAAUGGGGGCAACCCUGAUCCAGCAAUGCCGCGUGUGUGAAGAAGGCCUGAGGGUUGUAAAGCACUUUCAGUGGGGAGGAGGGUUGAUAGGUUAAGAGCUAAUUGACUGGACGUUACCCACAGAAGAAGCACCGGCUAACUCCGUGCCAGCAGCCGCGGUAAUACGGAGGGUGCAAGCGUUAAUCGGAAUUACUGGGCGUAAAGCGUGCGUAGGUGGUUUAAUAAGUCAUUUGUAAAAGCCCCGGGCUCAACCUGGGAAGGUCAGAUGAUACUGUUAGACUGGAGUAUAGGAGAGGGUAGUGGAAUUUCCGGUGUAGCGGUGAAAUGCGUAGAGAUCGGAAGGAACACCAGUGGCGAAGGCGGCUACCUGGCCUGAUACUGACACUGAGGCACGAAAGCGUGGGGAGCAAAC
rnacentral:rRNA from 1 species